UCAGUAGGGGAUCCUAUGGGUCUUCUAACCGGAAUGAGAACAAGCUAAACAGCUUAUCGAGAAUCCAGCAGAGGGCAAGUCUGGUGCCAGCAGCCGCGGUAAUUCCAGCUCUAUAAGCGUAUACCAAAGUUGUUGCAGUUAAAACGCUCGUAGUCGGACUUUGGCGGUUCCGGAAGUGUGCCGCGUCGUGCGGCCGCUUUGCAGGGACUGCUUUUGUGGGUUUCGCGUCAGAUGAGGGCUGUUAAUUCGGUAACGUCUGUACGCAACCACUUUUUACUGUGAGAAAAUCAGAGUGCUCAAAGCAGGCAUUUGCCGUGAAUGUAUUAGCAUGGAAUAAUAGAAUAGGACUCAGUCUUAUUUUGUUGGUUUGUUAGGACCGAGUAAUGAUUAAGAGGGACAGUUGGGGGCAUUUGUAUUUCGGCGCUAGAGGUGAAAUUCUUAGAUUGCCGAAAGACAAACUGCUGCGAAAGCGUCUGCCAAGGAUGUUUUCAUUGAUCAAGAACGAAAGUAAGGGGAUCGAAGACGAUCAGAUACCGUCGUAGUCUUUACUAUAAACGAUGAGGACUGGGGAUCGGGCGAGGAAUUACGAUGACCCGCCCGGCACCCUUCGAGAAAUCAAAGUGUUUGCUUUCUGGGGGGAGUAUGGUCGCAAGGCUGAAACUUAAAGGAAUUGACGGAAGGGCAUCACCGGGUGUGGAGCCUGCGGCUUAAUUUGACCCAACACGGGAAAACUUACCAGGUCAGGACAUAGUGAGGAUUGACAGAUUGAGAGCUCUUUCUUGAUUCUAUGGUUGGUGGUGCAUGGCCGUUCUUAGUUGGUGGAGUGAUUUGUCUGGUUAAUUCCGUUAACGAGCGAGACCUGGGCGUGCUAACUAGGGGCUAUUAUCAUUUUGGUAGUACGUUCCCCUUCUUAGACGGACUGUGGGCGUCUAGCCCACGGAAGCUCCAGGCAAUAACAGGUCUGAGAUGCCCUUAGAUGUUCUGGGCCGCACGCGUGCUACACUGAGUGGAUCAGCGGGUCAGGUUACGCGAGAGCGUUUCCUAAUCUUCAAAUCCGCUCGUGAUGGGGAUUGACGGUUGCAAUUUUCCGUCAUGAACGAGGAAUACCUUGUAAGCGCGGGUCAUCAUCCCGCGCUGAAUACGUCCCUGCCCUUUGUACACACCGCCCGUCGCUCCUACCGAUUGAGUGGUCCGGUGAGGCUUUGGGAUCUAAGCGAAAAGAGCGUUUCGCUCCUUUUGCUGGGAGAACUCAGUCGAACCUUAUCAUUUAGAGGAAGGAGAAGUCGUAACAAGGU
rnacentral:rRNA from 1 species